rnacentral:rRNA from 1 species
AUUGAACGCUGGCGGCAUGCUUUACACAUGCAAGUCGAACGGUAACAGGCCGCAAGGUGCUGACGAGUGGCGAACGGGUGAGUAAUGCAUCGGAACGUGCCCAGUCGUGGGGGAUAACGCAGCGAAAGCUGCGCUAAUACCGCAUACGAUCUCUGGAUGAAAGCGGGGGACCGAAAGGCCUCGCGCGAUUGGAGCGGCCGAUGUCAGAUUAGGUAGUUGGUGGGGUAAUGGCUCACCAAGCCAACGAUCUGUAGCUGGUCUGAGAGGACGACCAGCCACACUGGGACUGAGACACGGCCCAGACUCCUACGGGAGGCAGCAGUGGGGAAUUUUGGACAAUGGGCGCAAGCCUGAUUCAGCAAUGCCGCGUGCAGGAAGAAGGCCUUCGGGUUGUAAACUGCUUUUGUACGGAACGAAACGGUCCUGGUUAAUACCUGGGGCUAAUGACGGUACCGUGAGAAUAAGCACCGGCUAACUACGUGCCAGCAGCCGCAGUAAAAC